rnacentral:rRNA from 1 species
UGGGGAAUAUUGCACAAUGGGCGGAAGCCUGAUGCAGCGACGCCGCGUGAGGGAUGACGGCCUUCGGGUUGUAAACCUCUUUCAGUAGGGACGAAGCGUAAGUGACGGUACCUGCAGAAGAAGCACCGGCUAACUACGUGCCAGCAGCCGCGGUAAUACGUAGGGUGCGAGCGUUGUCCGGAAUUACUGGGCGUAAAGAGCUCGUAGGCGGUUUGUCACGUCGUCUGUGAAAUCCUAGGGCUUAACCCUGGACGUGCAGGCGAUACGGGCUGACUUGAGUACGACAGGGGAGACUGGAAUUUCUGGUGUAGCGGUGGAAUGCACAGAUAUCAGGAAGAACACCGAUGGCGAAGGAAGGUCUCUGGGUAGUAACUGACGCUGAGGAGCGAAAGCAUGGGUAGCGAACAGG